GACGAACGCUGGCGGCGUGCUUAACACAUGCAAGUCGAACGGAAAGGCCCUGCUCUUGUGGGGUGCUCGAGUGGCGAACGGGUGAGUAACACGUGAGUAACCUGCCCUUGACUUUGGGAUAACUUCAGGAAACUGGGGCUAAUACCGGAUAGGAGCUCCUGCUGCAUGGUGGGGGUUGGAAAGUUUCGGCGGUUGGGGAUGGACUCGCGGCUUAUCAGCUUGUUUGUGGGGUAGUGGCUUACCAAGGCUUUGACGGGUAGCCGGCCUGAGAGGGUGACCGGCCACAUUGGGACUGAGGUACGGCCCAGACGCCUACGGGAGGCAGCAGUGGGGAAUAUUGCGGAAUGGGCGGAAGCCUGAGGCAGCAACGCCGCGUGCGGGAUGACGGCCUUCGGGUUGUAAACCGCUUUCGCCUGUGACGAAGAGUGAGUGACGGUAAUGGGUAAAGAAGCACCGGCUAACUACGUG
rnacentral:rRNA from 1 species